ACCAGCUUAGCUUCAGUGGUAGAAGGUCUCGCUUAUACGGUCAAGUUCAUUGUAUGUGCUUCUGCGUGAAAUAUGACGUUUAAAACACGUCCUAUAUUAGCAACGAGAAAGUCGCGGGUUCAACCCCCGCAGUUGGUA
rfam:Hanseniaspora osmophila strain AWRI3579 Hanseniaspora_osmophila_AWRI3579_scaffold9, whole genome shotgun sequence.